AGGUGCGAUCAUACCAGCACUAAUGCACCGGAUCCCAUCAGAACUCCGUAGUUAAGCGUGUUUGGGCGAGAAUAGUACUAGGAUGGGUGACCUUCUGGGAAGUCCUUGUGUUGCACAUC
rnacentral:rRNA from 1 species